GGAGAGUUAUCGAAGUGGUCAUAACGAGAACGACUCGAAAUCGUUUUGUCGUCAAAAGCGGCACGUGGGUUCGAAUCCCACACUCUCCGCCA
rnacentral:tRNA from 1 species